rnacentral:rRNA from 1 species
CCUACGGGAGGCAGCAGUGGGGAAUAUUGGACAAUGGGCGCAAGCCUGACCCAGCAACGCCGCGUGAAGGAAGACGGCUUUCGGGUUGUAAACUUCUUUUCUGAGGGACGAAGAAAAUGACGGUACCUCAGGAAUAAGCCACGGCUAACUACGUGCCAGCAGCCGCGGUAAUACGUAGGGGGCAAGCGUUAUCCGGAUUUAUUGGGUGUAAAGGGGGUGUAGGCGGGAAAGCAAGUCAGAUGUGAAAGCUCAGGGCUCAACCCUGAGACUGCAUUUGAAACUGUUUUGCUUGAGUGCAGGAGAGGAAAGCGGAAUUCCGGGUGUAGCGGUGAAAUGCGUAGAUAUAAGGAGGAACACCAGUGGCGAAGGCGGAUUGCUGGACAGUAACUGACGCUGAGGCGCGAAAGCGUGGGGAGCAAACAGGAUUAGAUACCCCGGUAGUC